AUCUUUACUUUGACUGAUAUCCUCCACACGACUGUGCUGUCUCCCAUGAGUACGCUGCUCUUUCGCUUCACUUUGACGUUGUCAACGUGUGCAAUAUUGUUUGCUGUAUCAACCUUGCCAUAAUUAGGUGAAACAUACUUGAAGAACUCUUGGCUAGCUGUGGAGGAGGAGUAGCUGCUGUUGGUGGCAUGAUUGGUACAGUUGGGUGUAUUCCAUGUGUUGUUGCAGUUCUGCCAGGGCAGCGGUGACUGGAAGGAGCUGAAGAGAUAAUAAAGAGCCCAGUGGACAGACACUAGCCAGACCAUGGACAGGCCCUCUCCUUGUGUACUGACCCACAGUCAGCUCCAUAUGGAGCAGAGGGAUCCCCAGCACCACCAGCAUGAGCAGGUAUGGCACCAGAAAGGCCCCUGGCAUAAAAUGAAGACAAGUCAACCUUUACACAAUGUAGUGACAAAGGAAACUGUACCCGUUUAUGGUCGUCUAUAAUCUUCGAGACUUCUGAGUAGUUCACUCUGCCCUUGUGUUUUCACUGACUUACUGUAAUGUAUAAAGAUCAUCUAAAAAUACAGUGAAAGAAUGUCAAAAUAAUACAAUUUCAGGCACAACACAUUUUGUUUACUUUUAAAGAGGCAGCCUGGUUUCUUAGUUGUGUUUAAGGAUGAAAAGUGUGUCUGUUUUUCUGGUUUCUCACCUCCUCCGCUCCUGUAGCAGAGAUAGGGGAACCUCCACACGUUGCCAAGGCCUACGGCACAGCCUAUGCCAGCCAGAGUAAACUCGAUCUGCCUGCUCCAUGUUGGUCUGCUGAGCUGUUUAUCCAUGUGUGCUCCCUGUAUCACCGCUGUCGCUCACCUGAGCCCAAACUACACAGCACGUUGGCUGGGCUUCAUGUGGCCCUGGGUGAUAUAGCCUUCUGUUUUAUUAUCUGUAAUGAUUAGCUUAGCAGAAACAUGCCUUCGCUGGUCAGGUCAUAAAGAGGCAAAUGUUUAUGUUAUCGUGUUGCAAAACUCAUUACAUGUUCGUUUUCAUGUAACAACAUAACAUUUAUUCGUUGGAUAUAUUUGUAGAAAUAAAAUGAAAUAAAAAAUGAAACACCA